rnacentral:sRNA from 1 species
CAGAGGAGGCCCCUACGUGAUGCGAAGCAGCACGUUAUAAUAGGGGCCGACGACAUGCCCUCGAAGCCGCAGGCUGAGGGGGCGACACCAUAG